rnacentral:rRNA from 1 species
AGUGAACGCUGGCGGUAGGCCUAACACAUGCAAGUCGAACGGCAGCACAGUAAGAGCUUGCUCUUACGGGUGGCGAGUGGCGGACGGGUGAGGAAUACAUCGGAAUCUACUUUUUCGUGGGGGAUAACGUAGGGAAACUUACGCUAAUACCGCAUACGACCUACGGGUGAAAGCAGGGGAUCUUCGGACCUUGCGCGAUUGAAUGAGCCGAUGUCGGAUUAGCUAGUUGGCGGGGUAAAGGCCCACCAAGGCGACGAUCCGUAGCUGGUCUGAGAGGAUGAUCAGCCACACUGGAACUGAGACACGGUCCAGACUCCUACGGGAGGCAGCAGUGGGGAAUAUUGGACAAAGGGCGCAAGCCUGAUCCAGCCAUACCGCGUGGGUGAAGGAGGCCUUCGGGUUGUAAAGCCCUUUUGUUGGGAAAGAAAAGCAGCAGGUUAAUACCCCGCUGUUCUGACGGUACCCAAAGAAUAAGCACCGGCUAACUUCGUG